GACGAACGCUGGCGGCGUGCCUAAUACAUGCAAGUCGAACGAACUCUGGUAUUGAUUGGUGCUUGCAUCAUGAUUUAUAUUUGAGUGAGUGGCGAACUGGUGAGUAACACGUGGGAAACCUGCCCAGAAGCGGGGGAUAACACCUGGAAACAGAUGCUAAUACCGCAUAACAACUUGGACCGCAUGGUCCGAGUUUGAAAGAUGGCUUCGGCUAUCAUUUUUGGAUGGUCCCGCGGCGUAUUAGCUAGAUGGUGAGGUAACGGCUCACCAUGGCAAUGAUACGUAGCCGACCUGAGAGGGUAAUCGGCCACAUUGGGACUGAGACACGGCCCAAACUCCUACGGGAGGCAGCAGUAGGGAAUCUUCCACAAUGGACGAAAGUCUGAUGGAGCAACGCCGCGUGAGUGAAGAAGGGUUUCGGCUCGUAAAACUCUGUUGUUAAAGAAGAACAUAUCUGAGAGUAACUGUUCAGGUAUUGACGGUAUUUAACCAGAAAGCCACGGCUAACUACGUGCCAGCAGCCGCGGUAAUACGUAGGUGGCAAGCGUUGUCCGGAUUUAUUGGGCGUAAAGCGAGCGCAGGCGGUUUUUUAAGUCUGAUGUGAAAGCCUUCGGCUCAACCGAAGAAGUGCAUCGGAAACUGGGAAACUUGAGUGCAGAAGAGGACAGUGGAACUCCAUGUGUAGCGGUGAAAUGCGUAGAUAUAUGGAAGAACACCAGUGGCGAAGGCGGCUGUCUGGUCUGUAACUGACGCUGAGGCUCGAAAGUAUGGGUAGCAAACAGGAUUAGAUACCCUGGUAGUCCAUACCGUAAACGAUGAAUGCUAAGUGUUGGAGGGUUUCCGCCCUUCAGUGCUGCAGCUAACGCAUUAAGCAUUCCGCCUGGGGAGUACGGCCGCAAGGCUGAAACUCAAAGGAAUUGACGGGGGCCCGCACAAGCGGUGGAGCAUGUGGUUUAAUUCGAAGCUACGCGAAGAACCUUACCAGGUCUUGACAUACUAUGCAAAUCUAAGAGAUUAGACGUUCCCUUCGGGGACAUGGAUACAGGUGGUGCAUGGUUGUCGUCAGCUCGUGUCGUGAGAUGUUGGGUUAAGUCCCGCAACGAGCGCAACCCUUAUUAUCAGUUGCCAGCAUUAAGUUGGGCACUCUGGUGAGACUGCCGGUGACAAACCGGAGGAAGGUGGGGAUGACGUCAAAUCAUCAUGCCCCUUAUGACCUGGGCUACACACGUGCUACAAUGGAUGGUACAACGAGUUGCGAACUCGCGAGAGUAAGCUAAUCUCUUAAAGCCAUUCUCAGUUCGGAUUGUAGGCUGCAACUCGCCUACAUGAAGUCGGAAUCGCUAGUAAUCGCGGAUCAGCAUGCCGCGGUGAAUACGUUCCCGGGCCUUGUACACACCGCCCGUCACACCAUGAGAGUUUGUAACACCCAAAGUCGGUGGGGUAACCUUUUAGGAACCAGCCGCCUAAGGUGGGACAGAUGAUUAGGGUG
rnacentral:rRNA from 1 species